GAGUCUGNAACCCGACUCCGUGAAGCUGGAUUCGCUAGUAAUCGCGCAUCAGCCAUGGCGCGGUGAAUACGUUCCCGGGUCUUGUACACACCGCCCGUCACACCAUGGGAGCCGGUAAUACCCGAAGUCAGUAGUUUAACCCUUGUGGAGGACGCUGCCGAAGGUAGGAUUGGCGACUGGGGUGAAGUCGUAACAAGGUAGC
rnacentral:rRNA from 1 species